UACAGAGGGGGCAAGCGUUGUUCGGAAUUACUGGGCGUAAAGGGCGCGUAGGCGGCCUUCUAAGUCGAACGUGAAAUCCCCGGGCUCAACCCGGGAACUGCGUCCGAUACUGGAAGGCUUGAAUCCGGGAGAGGGAUGUGGAAUUCCAGGUGUAGCGGUGAAAUGCGUAGAUAUCUGGAGGAACACCGGUGGCGAAGGCGACAUCCUGGACCGGUAUUGACGCUGAGGCGCGAAAGCUAGGGGAGCGAACAGG
rnacentral:rRNA from 1 species